AUGCAUCACAUCACAAACAAAUCACCUUAAGGAUGAACUUGUCACCAAUAGCCCAUUACACAUUCCAAUAGUGCCAGGGGCGUAGAAUGGGCCUCACUGGUCUUUCUCUUACAUUAACAUAACAUUCCAAUAUGUCAGGGGCGUAGAAUGGGCCUCACUGGUCUUUCAUACCGUAUCAUCACUAUCUCAUAUCAUAUCAUAUUAUAGUGCGGCUAAAGGAUCAUCCAACAUUCAUCCACAUCAACAAC
rnacentral:lncRNA from 1 species